UAGAAAGCCACUUAUUGUAUAAUUUGCAAG
rnacentral:piRNA from 1 species